CGAAAUGCGAUAAGUAAUGUGAAAUGCAGAAUUCAGUGAAUCAUCGAAUCUUUGAACGCACCUUGCGCUCCUUGGUAUUCCUUGGAGCAUGCCUGUUUGAGUAUCAUGAAAUCUUCAAAGUAAAUCUUUUGUUAACUCAAUUGGUUUCUACUUUGGUAUUGGAGGUCUUUGCAGCUUCACACCUGCUCCUCUUUGUUCAUUAGCUGGAUCUCAGUGUUAUGCUUGGUUCCACUCGGCGUGAUAAGUUAUCUAUCGCUGAGGACACUGUAAAAGGUGGCCAAGGUAAAUGCAGAUGAACCGCUUCUAAUAGUCCAUUGACUUGGACAAUACUUUUAUGAUCUGAUCUCAAAUCAGGUAGGACUACCCGCUGAACUUAAGC
rnacentral:misc_RNA from 1 species